AUGGGCCCUGACGACUUGAUUUUCUCUCUCUUGUCCUCUUCAUACCCCCCCAUAUGAACAAGAAUGAGCUGGUUUUCUCUAUGUUUCUGUGGCAUACUAUUUCCUACUAAAUUCAAGCUGUGUUCUCUUUUCAGAGAUUCCAAUUUCUGUACAUGGAAGAAUUUAAAGGAGAGGCAGUUUGGUGCAUGUGAUGAUUUUCUUUUGGCUCUUCUUCUUCAUCAAAUCUGCUCGGUCCCCAUUCAAUUUAUUUGUACCGGCUUAUCCAAAUUCCAGACAAGCAUCUAGAAGAAAAGAACAGCAAUCAUUUUUCUCAUUCUGUUUAGAUUAAUUUAUUUUGAGUCGAGAUUGUUUUUUAAUAUCAUAAUUUUAUUUAUUUAAAUUAGUGUAUGAUAUUGUAAUAAUAGUUUUUUUUCAAAGAUUUUUUGUUAUAUCAACGUAAUGUUUUUAUUUAUUUA